rnacentral:rRNA from 1 species
UACAGAGGUCUCGAGCGUUAGGCGGAAUCACUGGGCUUAAAGCGUGUGUAGGCGGAUCGUUAAGUGCCUUGUGAAAUCCCACGGCUCAACCGUGGAACUGCUUGGCAUACUGGCGGUCUUGAGCAACCUAGGGGCGAGCGGAACAAAUGGUGGAGCGGUGAAAUGCGUAGAUAUCAUUUGGAACGCCGAUGGUGAAAACAGCUCGCUGGGGGUUUGCUGACGCUGAGACACGAAAGCCAGGGGAGCAAACAGG